GACAGGGGGCUCGAGCGUUAAUCGGAAUUACUGGGCGUAAAGCGUGCGCAGGCGGUUCGCUAAGACAGAUGUGAAAUCCCCGGGCUUAACCUGGGAACUGCAUUUGUGACUGGCGGGCUAGAGUAUGGCAGAGGGGGGUAGAAUUCCACGUGUAGCAGUGAAAUGCGUAGAGAUGUGGAGGAAUACCGAUGGCGAAGGCAGCCCCCUGGGCCAAUACUGACGCUCAUGCACGAAAGCGUGGGGAGCAAACAGG
rnacentral:rRNA from 1 species